rnacentral:rRNA from 1 species
GGCUUGGCUGGGCGGUCUGCCCUCGGGUAUGUACUGCUUGGCUGGGCCUUUCCUUCUAGGGAACCUUUGUGCUCUUUACUGAGUGCAUUGGGGAACUAGAGCUUUUACUUUGAAAAAAUUAGAGUGUUUAAAGCAGGCUUACGCUUGAAUACAUUAGCAUGGAAUAAUAGAAUAGGACUU